rnacentral:rRNA from 1 species
GACGAACGCUGGCGGCGUGGAUUAGGCAUGCAAGUCGAACGGUAUCAUCCUUUCGGGGGUGAGAGAGUGGCGAACUGGUGAGUAACACGUAGGUUAUCUACCCUCAAGACGGGGACAACCCAGGGAAACUUGGGCUAAAUACCGGAUGUGAGCAACUUUUAGUUGUUUGAAAGGUGGCGUAAGCUGUCGCUUGGGGAUGAGCCUGCGUCCUAUUAGUUAGUUGGUGAGGUAACGGCUCACCUAGGCAAUGAUAGGUAGGCGGCCUUAACGGGUGGUCGCCCACACUGGGAUUGAGAUACGGCCCAGACUCCUACGGGAGGCAGCAGUCGAGAAUAGUCUACAAUGGUCGGAAGACUGAUAGUGCGACGCCGCGUGAACGAUGAAUCCCUUCGGGGUGUAAAGUUCUUUUAUAUGUGAGCAGUGCUUCUUAUAUUAACAGUAUGGGGAAGAGAUAUUAGCAUAUGAAUAAGCAACGGCUAACUCCGUGCCAGCAGCCGCGUAAAACACG